rnacentral:lncRNA from 1 species
UCAUUGACAUUGUGUUUUAUUUUUCUUAAUUUAAUACUAGGUUCAAUUCUAUCUUUUUAUAUAUUUCAUUUUAUGUGUUUUCAAUUUCAUUUUUUUCUUGUUAUUCUUUUUGUUUUAACUAUGAUGUAAUGGUUUUUUUUACUUAAAGGAGUUACGUCCAUUGUUAUAAGUUGAAGACGAAGAGGAUGUUAAAUCUUUUAUGAUUAUAUAAUAGGAUUUUCAUCAUAAAAUGUAAUGAAUUAUCAUCUAAUUACAAAAUUACACGUAAUUUAAUUAACUUUAUACAAUAUUUUAUUGGAUAAACAAUUUACAUUUAAAGUAUUAAAUUAAGGAGAAUCACUUUUAUUAAAAAAUUGAUAGCACGUUAUAUAAAGCAACAAUAUAUUAAAUACUAUUCUAAAUGUACACAAAUAUUUUUUGAAAGAUUAUUAUAUUUACACAUAUUGUCUAGGUCCGGGCAUUUUCUAUAUAAACAACGAAUUAUGGUCAUGAUAACGACAACAUCUGGACAAUUGUCCAAAACCAAUGGAUUUCCCACACUUUGUCAUUUCUUCAAUUGGGACAUUAUUUGUCUCAGGAAAACAUGACUGAAUAUUGUCAUUAUAAGCACAAAGCCAGCAAAGAAGAAGAAGUCCAAACUUCAAGUGACAAGCAUAGUAAGAAACUUGAGCAUGCAAAGGUAAACAACAUGUUCACAGCACAUUGGUAGCUUGACCUGCAGAGCGAACCUCAAGAGAGCAUAUUUCACUAGGAAUAACCAUCCCAAUGGCCCCAGACCAUGCAUAUGCACCGCAACAUAGGCACAUAUAAAGACAAAAGAAGUUGGGCUUCAGAAUGUGUAAACGAUCCUUCACCGCUAACCCCAACUUGAUAGCAAUCAUGCUUCCACACAAAAUCUAUGCAUCAUAAUGUCACAUUAUAUUAGCAUGUUUGUUAAAAUGGAUUAAUUUAAUGGUAAAAAGAAUUAAUUAUUUGUUAAGUUGCAAUGUCACCUGACAAAAAAAUUUGGUCACCACCUUCAAGAAACAAAAAUCUUUCUUCCAAACUUGUCCACAGUAAGAAUGGAACAAAGUAGCCACAACGUUGACACCUCCGGUAAUUACUGAGGACAUGAGGAAGCAUCGUUUCCAAAGCCCAAAGUUUUGAAAAGGACGGGCAUAAACAUGAAUACAUUGAUGCCCGGUGAGUUGUGGAAGAUGGAAUAGAGCAGAGCAAUGUUAGUUGAGGUCUGUAUCUCAAUUGUUGUAAUAUUCUUCCAUGGAUGUUCCACCUUUUUGGCUUCCUCACUAGCAUCAAUUAGAUCUUGGAACUCCUCAUCAACAUUAUCAAUUCCACGAAUCUUUUGCAACAUUUUCUUAGCUCCUUCUCUUUGGCCCCUUUCAAUCAUAGAGUUUGGUGUGUCGCCUAAGAAAAAAGAUCCUAUACAUAACAAAAUUGCAGGGACGGCUCCGAUACCCAAAGAAAUUCUCCAUCCACUCUCAAUAUUUGAAGUAAAAUAGUUGAUAAUGUUUGCCCCUAGGAUUCCAAUAGUGAUCAUCAUUUGGAAGCCCAUGUUUAGCGCACCUCUAAUCUUUGCUGGAGCCAUUUCAGACAAAUACACUGGAACUGACUGUUUACGAGUAACAAAAAAUGAUAGGCAAUUAAAUUUGCAAUAUUCUUGAUCCUAUACACAUAAAAACAUAAAAUCAUAAAAAUGAUACCGAUUUUUACCUGAUUACAAUAUCCUACACCAAAACCAAGUAAUAUGCGACCAAUUAUAAGCAUUUCAAUGUUUACAGCAAAACCAUUGAGCAAUGCACCAACAAGGAAAAACAAGCCACCUGCAAACAUUGAGGCUUUGCGUCCUAACAUUCUUGUAGUUAUGGAAGCAAAUAAAGAAGCUACCAAAGCUGCAAGAUACAAGGAAGAUGUGAACAAAGUAAGUAGUUCGUUAUCAAAUUUGCAAUAUUGGCUCUCGUGUCCAGAUUCAUCUUUCAUUUGUUUGUAAACACCAGGGAAGAAUUUAACCAAGAAUGGUUCCAUGGAAGUCACUCCUCCUGUAAUACCAAGAUCAUAACCGAAAAGUAGACCUCCCAUGGCCGCCACCAAACAUGUGACCAAAACAAACAUUGUAACCUUCCCAUCAUAUUGCCUUCCAUUUGUUGAAGCAACUAAAACUCCACCUGCCAUCGUUUGAAUUUGUGUAUCUUAAAAUUUAGGUAUAUCUAUGAUGAAGACUUGUGCUAAAUUUCUUUCUCUAUAUAUUAGAUAUUAAAAUUUAUGAUUAUUUUAUAGUGUUAAUAAUUUUAAAUAUGAUAACAGGAAGUUGUAACAAACAUACAACGUUUUUCAACAAUACGUAUCAGUUUAGUAUUUUUGAUCGUUUGCAUCCUUGUAAAUUGUUAGGUUAUGAGCAUUAUUUCGCUAGAUUUAGUGUCAAUACACUAUUAUAAGAUAUGGGAUCAGAGAUAAUUUUUGUAUUGAUCAUCAAACUUAAUGAUAUGAUAAACAUCGUUAAAUAAAUUUUAAGUGACACUUUGUUAAUCUAUUUAUAGUAUAUUUGAACAAGUAAUUGAAAAUUUAGUUGAAUCGCAAAUUAUUACAAAAAGAAUUUUUCAUUAAAAUUUUGAAAUUCAUUUAAUGUAAAUUAGUUUAUUAUCAAAUAAAUUUUCAACUAUUUCUAAUUUUAUAUUUUUGAAUUAAUAAACAAAUAUAUAAAUCCUUUAACCACUCAAAGUUGCAUGCUACUGGCAAAAGAUUACGUAAGACCAAAAUGAAAAAAUAGAAUUAAAUUGACUGUAUUAUUACUUUCAGAUAUUGUUGAUACUGAAAUUUUUCACACGACAAUCAUUUAGGAUCAUUUGUUUGUGUUUUUUGAAACAAUUUAUAGUAUUAGAUAUUUUAAGAAAAAAAGACUUCUAAUGAAAAAUCAUUUUGAAUAAUUCUUCAUAAAAGAAUUGUUUUAGGUAUUUCGUUCAUACAUUAUGACUUUUUUAGACAUCAAAAUUUAAAUAAAAAAAAACUUAAAUUUGAAGACAUUUUAAAAUGAUUUUUCUAAAAAUAAUUUUUGAAAUAUAUAUUUUCAAAAAAUUAUGUGAUUUUGUUUAUGAUAAAUCAUUAGUAAUAAAUAUUAUAUUAUAAAUAUCAAAAUUACUCUUUUAGUUUAUGAAAAACGAGUUUGAAACAACUUAUACUAUUUUUUUUAAAAAAAAAUCUUAAACUUAAUUUUAAAAAUACUAAUACAAAACACUUUUUUAAUAUCUAAAAUGGACUGGUCUAUUAUUCCGUACAAAAAUGUCUCUGCUUUUUUAUCCAUUAAAUAUAUUGGUGGUCCAAUUGCUAUUUUUCUUCUUAUCUUUUCAUUUACCAUAGUACAUACAUAACUAGUUUUUAUUUAAUAAUUAUCAUUUUUAUUACAAGCAUAACAUAAGAAUUCUUUCAUAAACACACAAACAUCCACAUUACAAUAAUGCAUGUUGAUUAUGUACUAACAUAGUCUAUGUAUAAUUUCGUAGUAUUUUAUGAUUCCAAAUCGACCAUAUCAUAAAAUGUCAUAUUAUAACCAAACAACUCCUCACCUUAGCCCUACCACUCGGAAAUCUAAAGAAAAAGAAAAUAUCAUUAAGGUCCCUAGGAAGAACAAAGCACUACUCCAGCCGCCUAAGGAUAUCAUACCAAACAGACGAUGCAAGGUCACAAGUAACAAAUAUGUGGGUUAUUGACUCUACCCUCUGGCUACACAACAUAAAAAUAAGACUCUCAGGGUCCACCAGCACUCUACGCCUAAAUAGGUUAACUCUAGUAGGAACGUUCUCUUGGAUGAGUUUCAAGGAUAAAACAACUUCCCUAUUGGGGGCAGUUAUGCAAAAUAAAAGGGAGCACAAAAUUAUCUAGAAUGGCUGGAGGAGCACUAGAGAAUUCACUCUCAAGGAGACAAGUGUAAUCUGAAGCAAAAAAUAUAAUAUUAUCAUCUGAAUGAAACCAGACCUACAAAUAACCCAACCAUACCCAUUACCCAAUCUUGUUGGUCAGAGAUACCGAAGAUCUUAGGAAACAAAAACAAAUAAAUUGGGAAAUUGCCCCUGUAUCCUUCCAAAAGGAGGUUUGGAGAUCUGAUUCCACUUUAUUACUAAGACUAGGCAUAAACCUAUAGGAGCAUCCACACCUUUUGAUCUUAAGAGAGCCACACCUUUCCACCAAAAUGCAGAAAAUCGAAAUCCAAAUGAUCUAUCUACCCUCAAUAUGAGAGGAUAGAAAAUGUGCUUCAUACCUAGCAUAUAAGAUAUCACACUAGAGGUCGGUGGCUCCAUCAAUAGGUUUCCAUCUCCACUUGGCUAAAAUUACCAAAUUGACCAAACGGAAAUCCCAGAUAUCCCAAACCCCUUAUUCUUAGGUUUACAAACAUCAACCCACUUAACCCAAGCAACCUUAGUCUCCCGUUUGACCCCACCCCAAAUGAACUUCCUUUAAAACCUCGCAAUCUUCUUCCAAACCUUAAUCGACAUCUUUAGGAAAGAAAAUUUACAUAGGAAUAACAUUAAGGAUUUAGGUUUAGUAAAAGCAUUCAACCCCUCAGGCUAACAUAUUGAUGCCUUCACGAGCACAACCUACUAGACAAAAAUUACCUAGAGGUUCCCACGUAUCUGAAGGUGUGAAAAACACAAGAAGGAUGGGGUUUGAAUUGGAUUUUAAAAACAAAAGCUUUUUACAAACUCAAAAACACCACACAAUACUAAGAAUAAAGAGAUAAAGACACAAGUAUUUUUAUCCUGGUUCGCUUGAAAUCAAAGCUACUCUAGUCCACCCGCCAAGGUAAUUUUGCCUUAUACCCAAGGACUUAAUCCACUAUAAUCAAACAGAUUACAGAAAAAAAAACCACAAAGAACAACUUUCUUUGUCUUCUCAAGGAUCUGACUAAGCCUAGUCUCCUUAAGGAAAAUCACAAAGAACAACUUUCUUUGUCUUCUCCAAGAUCCGACUAAAACUUAGUCUCCUUAAGGAAAUAUAAACAAACAAGUUUGAAUAAAGUUUUUUAUGUUAUAAGUUGCUUCUACAUAAGCAUAUUUUACACAAAUGAAAAUACAAAAUACUUAAAGAAAAAUUGUAUACAAAUUUGAUAGCUUUUCACGUAUAAAAAAAAUUGGCAAAUAUUGUAAUGCUUCUUGUUUUUUCUUCAAGUCUCCAAGUACCACUUGCAUAUAAAAGAGACUGUUGGAGGGCGAUAUGGGGAUAACAAUAGAGAAACUAUUCACUGUUGGAUUGGUGAUAGGAGUGAUACAUCCUAGAGUCCUUUUCCCAUAAUUCCAGUGACAGGUGUGAUGUAUAGUAAUCUCCUUCGCCCAUGAAUUAAGUAGUGGAAGGAAUAUUUGAUUUGUAAUAUGUACUAUUUAACCACAUAUCCACUUGAUCUUAUCUUCAAAUUCAUUUGGCUUAUGAGAAAGAGUUGAUGAAGCAUGAACAGAAGAAACGAAAAGCUGAUAUCAGAAUCUUCAGAGUCUUCAGUCAGAACCUUGACCACGUCUGCGUUUGACUUGAGAUCUUUAGAAUCAUCAUCUAAGUAAAGUUAAAUUUCAGAAGCUUGUCAUUCUUCAGAAGCGUGAGAAUCAAUGUCACAUCCAGAAGCAACAGCAGAGAGAAUAUUGCAUCAGCAACAUAACAUCUUUUCGGAACUUCUCAGGAGUGAAUUAGUACAGAAGCAGAAAGAGCGUUGCAUCAGCAACCUGUCGUCUUUCAGAAAUUCUCAUGAUUAGUGCAGAAGCGGGAUUCAGAACACAAUGUGGAACACCAACAUUUACUACUUUUUAUUUUUCCCCAUCAGUUGUCUGUUUCCUAGUAGGACGAAACCAUUCUCUAGAAGAUGCAUAUGUAGUGGGGACGUAAGUCUUACCUUGGAACUUUUUGGGGCCUUUUCCUUUGUUGGAGAAAAGUUCUUUGGGUUUAUCAUGUCGGAUAAACUUUUUGGAUUGGUAAGGGUUUGUCAUAUCCAGCUCUUUAGCAGCUUCUUUGUCAAACACAAAGUUGCCCCUAGGACACAAUAUUACUUUUGAAUCUUUCAACCUGCAACGAUUCAAAAAGUCAAGCAUCUUCUAUUCAGCUUUGGGGUAGGCCCUUGCUUCAUGAUCUUUGUAGCUUUCUUUGUUAUAUUCAGUGUCGGCUUUGUCGACUGUGUCGACCACCAUGAUGUCUACUGACUUGACAAAGAGAGCCUUAACAUUUAUUUGAACGUCCUGUUGUGGGCGCUGUUUCUGCUUGUAAGGAAACUUGAGCAUGCCAUCCUUGAGAGAAUUUUGCACUAGAUCCCUAAAAAGUACACAUUGAGAAGUUUUAUGACUUAAAAAAUUAUGGAACUUACAAAAAUAUUUUUUCUUUCUUUGUUUUAAUGGUGGGACUUUAGCCCCUUUUGGAACAAUGAUUUUUCCAUCAGCAACUAAUAGAUCAAAGAUCUCAUCACACUUAGUAACAUUGAAGGUGUACAUUUUAGCAAUAAACUUUUCAUUUUUGGGUUCGACAAGGUUCUUUCCAUUCAGAGGUUUUAGUAGCUUGCAUGUGUAGGGAGGCUCUGGCUUUAGUUUCGCCACAUUAACCUCAUUCUCCUUCAUAUACUCAUAUUUUGAGUCGGAUGAGUCCCAUAUGUUGUCGACGUCGACAUAAGCUACUUUAUUUUUACUGAACUUGGAGGUUCUGGCUUUCUCAACCUUUAUUCGUUUUACUUGUCAAACUCUAUCGACCAACUGGGCCAUGUCUCUCAAGUAUUAGAUGUCUAACUUCUUCCUGAUUGAGUGUUUGAUUAGACAUCUUUCAAAGAAGUUGGUUUAAAUUGGGAUACAUAACUACGUAUUGUUGUUCUUCUUUUCAUAUGUAUGGUUAUAAUGAUGAUAAUUAUCUUUUAAGCUUAGUUUAAGAUCUAUGACUUAAGAGUCUAGGAGAGUUGGAAUUGGAUUUUGGGCAUGUUUUGAGUGUCUAACAUAGGUGCAAUUAAUGUCUUGAAAUAGUUUUAUAGAGUGAAUGGAGAUUAGUGGAAUUCCUUACUACAUACGUUUUCAAUUUGAAUGAGUUUAACAAGUAGGAUUUAUUAUGUUAGCCUGAAAUUCAGGUGCGUUUAUUUACUGUAAUCCUUUAGGAUUUUGGUAGUAAAAUUGUUUAAUAUCUUUGUCAAAUAGUUGAAAUAUGACUUAUGAUAAAAUAAUUGAAACAUGUAAAUAGAUUGUAAUAUAAUUUUGGUGUAAGAUUUUUUGGUAUUAAAUAAUAUGAUUUUUGGGUAUUAAAUAAUAUGAUUUUGAUGUAAGACUUAUAUAUGAUGAUGUUAGAAUAUGUUUAUUUUGGUUGUGUUUUUUUGUUUAUUCAAUGAAUCUUAUAUAAAAAUAUUUAGCUUAAUGAUUUUAAAACAUAAUAAUAUUAAAAAAUAAAUUAAGUUCUUUUACACACGUUACAAGAUAUUUGUUUAGUGAAUGUCUUGCGUUAUAAAAAAAGUAUUUUGUUGAAUUAAAAAGAUGUAAAUGAAAUUAAAUAUAAUAUCAUUAUCAAAUAUUUUACACCAGUGGUAAUUAAAAUAGGGUGUAAUAUAUCAUAUUUUUACAUCUUAUUUAAAGAAAAUAAGGUAUAAAUUUGUUGACAUUCAAAAUAAACGUUAUUCAUUUUACACCCAAUUUAUAUAAAAUAGGGUGUAAAUUUGUUUGACUUAAAUGCAUAUAUGUAAUAAUUUAUAUAUGUUUUUUUAUCUAAAAAAAUGGAUGUAAUAUAUCCCCUAUUUACACCCGUUUUUAAACGGCUGUAAAUUCAUUAGACAUUUCUCACCCUCUAAUAACGGGUGUAAAUCUCUCUCUCUCUCUCUCUUACACACACACACAUUAUGAUGGGAUUUUUGGCCAAUUAUUUUCAUUGACGUUGUGUUUUAUUUUUCUUAAUUUUAAUACUAGGUUCAAUUCUAUCUUUUUUAUAUAAUUUCAUUUUAUGUGUUUUCAAAUUUCAUUUUUUUUACUUGUUAUUCUUUUUGUUUUAUCUAUGAUGUAAUGGUUUUGUUUGACUUAAAGGAAUUUAAGUCCAUUGUUAUAAGUUGAAGACCAAGAGGAUGUUAAAUCUUAAUUGAUUAUAUAAUU